AGGACUAACGCUGGCGGCGUGCCUAACACAUGCAAGUCGAACGAGGGGUAGCAAUACCCCUAGUGGCAGACGGGUGAGUAACACGUAGUCAACCUACCUCUUAAUGGGGGAUAACUAGCCGAAAGGUUAGCUAAUACCGCAUACGAUCGUCGAGUGGCAUCACACGACGAUGAAAGGAGCAAUCCGUUGAGAGAGGGGACUGCGUCCCAUUAGUUAGUUGGUGGGGUAAUGGCCUACCAAGACUCCGAUGGGUAGCUGGCUUGAGAGAGCGACCAGCCACACUGGAACUGAGACACGGUCCAGACUCCUACGGGAGGCAGCAGUGAGGAAUUUUUCCGCAAUGGGGGAAACCCUGACGGAGCGACGCCGCGUGUGGGAAGAAGGCCUUCGGGUCGUAAACCACUGUCGAGGGGGACGAUAUUGACGGUACCCUGGAGGAAGCCCGGCUAACUACGCGCCAGCAGCCGC
rnacentral:rRNA from 1 species